UUCACAAAGGUAGGUGCUCGCCCA
rnacentral:piRNA from 1 species